CAACUUGAGAGUUUGAUCCUGGCUCAGAACGAACGCUGGCGGCAGGCUUAACACAUGCAAGUCGAACGCUCGUAGCAAUACGGGAGUGGCAGACGGGUGAGUAACGCGUGGGAACAUACCCUCCGGUUCGGAAUAGCUCAGGGAAACUUGGAUUAAUACCGGAUACGGCUGAGAGGCGAAAGAUUUAUCGCCGGAGGAUUGGCCCGCGUUCGAUUAGCUAGUUGGUGAGGUAACGGCUCACCAAGGCGAUGAUCGAUAGCUGGUCUGAGAGGAUGAUCAGCCACAUUGGGACUGAGACACGGCCCAAACUCCUACGGGAGGCAGCAGUGGGGAAUAUUGGACAAUGGGCGCAAGCCUGAUCCAGCCAUGCCGCGUGAGUGAUGACGGCCUUAGGGUUGUAAAG
rnacentral:rRNA from 1 species